UACGUAGGGUGCGAGCGUUAAUCGGAAUUACUGGGCGUAAAGCGUGCGCAGGCGGUUCGACAAGUCCGAUGUGAAAGCCCCGGGCUCAACCUGGGAAUGGCAUUGGAAACUGGCGAGCUUGAGUGUGGCAGAGGGGGGUGGAAUUCCGCGUGUAGCAGUGAAAUGCGUAGAGAUGCGGAGGAACACCGAUGGCGAAGGCAGCCCCCUGGGCUAGCACUGACGCUCAGGCACGAAAGCGUGGGGAGCAAACAGG
rnacentral:rRNA from 1 species